rnacentral:rRNA from 1 species
UUGACGGGGAGCACUACAACGGGUGGAGCCUGCGGUUUAAUUGGAUUCAACGCCGGAAAUCUCGCCGGGGCGACAGCAAUAUGAAGGUCAGGCUGAAGACCUUACCCGAUUAGCUGAGAGGUGGUGCAUGGCCGUCGUCAGUUCGUACUGUGAAGCAUCCUGUUAAGUCAGGCAACGAGCGAGACCCACGUCCACAGUUGCCAGCAUACCCUCCGGGGUGAUGGGUACACUGUGGAGACCGCCGCUGCUAAAGCGGAGGAAGGAGUGGGCAACGGUAGGUCAGUAUGCCCCGAAUCUCCCGGGCUACACGCGGGCUACAAUGGUUGGUACAAUGGGCAUCUACCCCGAAAGGGGAAGGAAAUCUCUUAAAGCCAAUCGUAGUUCGGAUUGAGGGCUGCAACUCGCCCUCAUGAAGCUGGAAUCCGUAGUAAUCGCGUUUCAACAGAACGCGGUGAAUACGUCCCUGCUCCCU